ACUGGUUUAACGGAUGUGAGCGCCCUCUCGUGGCCAUUACAGAAACAGCGGGAAAGAGUACAGACUAUUGAGGAGCUAUGUGACGUCAAUAACAUCUGUUUUUAUGCUUUUAACAGACGAAUCCCAAUGAAACACGUCUGGAACCUCUUACAUUUAGGGUCUUCUCCGAACACAUCGUCUCCGACCUCUGCCUCUGCUAUGGCUCGGCGCAUGGCUGCUCCGGGUUUGGUGACGGUGUCGCUGCGGAGGUCCACAGUGCGAACAGCUGAUCCCGUAGCCGCCCGCGGGGACCCAUAGUACAGCCGCACCGGAUCCACGCAAAUAACACUACGAGCGUGUCUGAAGAAACAGCUCCCUGUUGUGAGAGAAACCGUUGCAGUAAGAGGAGGGUUUACUGGAAGUCAGUUUGAAAGAGUUCCCUUCAUUCUUCUAUUUUUUUUUUUUUUUUUCACCACGCUAAGAUUCUCCUGCUGAUUGCAUUGCAUAUUUCCCUGACCAAAACUAUGCACACACAGACUGUAUGUUAUUGUAAAUGCUGCAUAUUUACUCUAGUGGAGUGGGUUGGGAAAACGUUCUCCCAGGAAAACUAGAGCAAGUGUUUAGAUCAGCAGUUUUUUGUGUAUUUCAUACUUUUUAUAUACAUGUUCUGGGGUUUUCAUGGUCAUUUUCAGUUUAGUGCUGAUAAUGCCUGCUAUGUGCAUACUGACAUUUAUGUAAAUAUGAAAAUGGUUUCGUUUUUGGAGUAGAUGCCUGGAUCCUUCAUAGCAGUGUCUGUCAGGAACAAGAUUGAUUUGUGUUUUUAUUUUAAUACUAUUUUUAAAUUAGUUUUUUAAGUUUUAAGUUUACUUUGCAUUAAUUUAUUUCAAUCAAUACUUUUUGUCAUGUGAUGAAUGCUCAGUGACUACUACAUUUCUUUAUUCUUUUUUAGUUUUUUCACUUUGUUUUUAUAAAAAUGUUGUUAAAUGAAUAGUUUUCGUCUUCGUUAUUUUUAGUCUACAAUAAUAACCCUUAUCAGGAAUCUGUAUUCAAUUUUUUUUUUAAUGCAGCUAAUAUUGUUAGUUAAAUAAACAGCAUUACGAUCUGUCAUCAGGCACAUCACUGAACCUAAAAAGGAGAUACAGCCUAGGGCUCAUCAUUUCCCGGUUUGAGUUUGAAGCACAAUCUAAACAUAGAGCACAGGAUUUAGCAAGAUCAUCACUGUACUAUGAUAUCACAGGCCCUGGGAUCUGGAGCUCUAUUUUAGUGGCAUUUACAGCAAAACAGACAAAACAUGCUGGACGUGCUGGUCAAGUGGAACACCAAAACCAGAAGAUCUGGUUCAGAUUCCACUUGGAUCCAAAACAAUUGGCCCUUUUGUUUCCCACUAUUGUGUCCUAAAGUGCUUUGUCCACGUAUGCACACAUUAUACAUAUUACUUACUGGCCUUGAAACUUAUUUUGCAUAAUUUUUAUUAAAAAUAUAGAUUUAUGUCCUUAAGCUAAGGGGAUAUUUUGGUUAGUUUUCAUUCAGUCUCUGUAAAAUUGCUCCUGUUCCAAAAUAAAAAAGACCUAUUGUGAUUUUGUUUCCAAUAUAAAGGACUGUAAAAUAAAGAUUUCCUACACUGUAUAAAAAAAUGUGUGAAAUUUACAGUAGAAAUCUGAUAACAGCAUUUGACACUUGAUAUUGAUUUUGAGCAUUUGAU